GCAGCCCAGGCACCCAGGCUUGGCUGGGUCCCACGGACACUGACAGGAUUGCUUGGACCACCUGCCAGCCUCUGUGGUGCAGGGAGAAUGGAUCGUGAGCAAGGUUUCUGCAUGCUGUAUACAAUGAAACACAUGUGAACGAGGUCCUGUCCUGCUCUGAAAAUGCCAUUGAGCCUCUGGCUGUCUUCAGCGACCUUACACGUCCUUCUGUUGGGAUUCCAGUAACAUGCUUGAGCCACCAAGCACUUUCACAGUUUUCUGAGGUGUCCCUCGAUAUCCCUUUGGAGA